GUAACGGCGAGUGAAGCGGGAUGAGCUCAAAUUUAAAAUCUGGCUGGUUUACUAGUCCGAAUUGUAGUUUAUAGAAGCGUUUUCGGUGGCAGCCUGGGUAUAAGUCCUUUGGAAUAGGGUAUCAUAGAGGGUGAGAAUCCCGUCUUUGACUCAGUGCAUGCUACUAUGUGAUACGUUUUCAAAGAGUCGAGUUGUUUGGGAAUGCAGCUCAAAAUGGGUGGUAAAUUUCAUCUAAAGCUAAAUAUUGGCGAGAGACCGAUAGCGAACAAGUACCGUGAGGGAAAGAUGAAAAGAACUUUGAAAAGAGAGUUAAACAGUGCGUGAAAUUGUUGAAAGGGAAACGCUUGACACCAGUUAUGCGGGUGGAAAAUCAGUCUUUUGCAAUGGGGAGUUGUGGGCGUUCAGACCGCAAGGCUGGCGUUUGCUUCAUCUUUGUUGUAAGUGAUGCACUUUUUCAUUUGCAGGUCAACAUCAGUUUGCUUUGCUGGACAAAACUCCAAGGGAAGGUGGCAGCUUAGGCUGUGUUAUAGCCCUGGAGCGAUACAGUGGAGUGGACUGAGGUUUCGCAGUGUGUGCUUUUAGCAAGGCUGACUGGGUGCUAUGGGAUCGUUCGGCGUACAAUGCAUGCAUUUUGCGUCGUGUCUUUUUCAUACUCGCUCAACUCGGCUCUUCCACGCU
rnacentral:rRNA from 1 species